rnacentral:lncRNA from 1 species
UGCCUGAGGAGAAUGAGCCGCGAGAGGACGGGGGGCCCUGGCCCAGGGAACCCCCCGGGCCCCGGCUCCUGAGAUCAACAUCAGCAGAGAGGACCCCCAGCCUGGCCCCCAAGGCCCACCCAGGCCUGGUGCCCACUUUGUGCCAUGGGAGCGGUCCACGGGAAGAAGAAAGAAUACUCUCCUCAGGCCAUAUUUCAUAAUGAAAAUGAGAAGCAGAGACUAAAUGGCUCAGGUAAGUCAGACCCACCUAGAAUUCCUCAGGAGUGCAGCCAGAGUUAAUCCCUUUCAAAUGCUCUGUAAAAGCACAUUACUUAGGCACAAUUUUCCUGAACCCCCUACCUUGUUCAAUAGCUAGCUUUGUUUCCCCCCUGCAGCAAAAGCUUUGGCACCAUCUGGGUUCCAAUAUCAGCUCCAUUACUAACUAGUUAUGUGACUGUGGGCAAGUCACUUGAACCUUAUUUUCCUUAUCUCUAAAAAGGGCAUAAUCAUACUUGAUCAAAGAGUGGAUUAAAUGAGAUCAAUAAUAAAUUGUAUAUCAUUUCAUCCUCCAAAGAAUGGAUAUGAAAUAGUCAAUGCCAAAUGUCUGUGAUUGUGCCUGGCACUCAUGAUGGUUGGUUGUUGAUGAGACACAUGAUCAGUCUGACCAAUCAGUGACGUCCCCAAAGAUCAAAGUGUGUCACUUGGGUUCUUAGGACCCUGGGUUUGUGACUGAGGAGCAGAGAAGUACAGAGAUCUCUGAGUCACAGCAGAAGCUGGGCCUGGAAAGUGGCAAAGGACCAACUAGAGAGGACUUGGCUGACAGCUGGCCUAGGGGGCACCAAGGCUAGAGAGGACUGGAGAGGACACAGAGGCACAGGGAGACAGUACUGUGUAGCCAAAUCUCCAACAGCCAGCUCAAGAUUCCCUGGCGCACACAGGCACAGCCUUGAACAGAGGCCAUGCAGUACCGCGGACAGCUCCAGGGGUCUCUAGACUAGUGGUGUGGGCGGGAACUGGAUUGAGGCU